UACGUAGGGUGCGAGCGUUGUCCGGAAUUAUUGGGCGUAAAGAGCUUGUAGGCGGUUUGUCGCGUCUGCUGUGAAAUCUCAAGGCUCAACCUUGAGCUUGCAGUGGGUACGGGCAGACUAGAGUGUGGUAGGGGAGACUGGAAUUCCUGGUGUAGCGGUGAAAUGCGCAGAUAUCAGGAGGAACACCGGUGGCGAAGGCAGCUCGCUGGGACGGUACUGACGCUAAGGCGCGAAAGCGUGGGGAGCGAACAGG
rnacentral:rRNA from 1 species